CCUGAAGUACCUCAGAGCCAGAGAGCCAUUAGGAAGGUCUGCCAGAAACCUUCUGUCCACGCUGUACAAUCACACAGACAAACUGAUCUUCAGCUGACUAUUGAUGAGGAUCUGCAGGGCACAAUACUCUAGGGAAGUAACUAUGAACUUUUUGUUGUUCUCCAGUCAGAAGACACUUCAUUCCUCCAUGUGGAGACAGAACUAGAUGGCUGCCUUAUAGAAUGUCCCUAAGGAGAAUGGUUUAUUGUUUUGGACACUAGCAACUAUCCUAGUAAAGAUACUAACAGUAGAUGUUUACUAUGCUUGGCAGAUUAGAACAACAAAAAUGGGCUUUGCAUCAUCCUGAAGAGCAUAGAAAUGAGGGUACCAGCAGGAAACAUGGGAUGAAGUGCAGCUAUUCCACAUGUGGCAAACCCAGUGCCUGUUGAAUACAUCAGAGAACUGGCUGUGAGUGAGAAGCCCUGUUGUUGGAAACAAGUUUUCUGUGGCCUUCGGCUUGGUGUUGAGUGAGCUAGGACUUGCUGCAUGUGGGACUCUGCUGGGAGAGCUCCAAAAAGAGAAAGAACUGGAAGGAACUGUCAGCAGCUGUCCAGGGGCUGAGCUGGGGUCUGACAUGUGUGGAAAUCAGCUGAGAGUGGAGAUGAGGCCAUCUGGAAACAAUGUCCUUCGGCCAGAGUGGGUGCCUUCAACUGAGAACACUGGACAGUGGAUCCUGUCUGCAGCCUGCACAGCGGUUUCUGAAAAUAGCCAGACAAGGCAAACAAGAAGAAAAAACCCACAUCUUACACUACUUGAAGUAAAAAAGGAGCAAAAGGGAAUGAAUAUGAAUCAAACAUUUUAUUAUUUGGCUUUAGGAUUGUCAGUAGUAGAUGCUGUUGUCCCAGCUAACACAGCCACCUUCUUGGAGAGAGACAAUUAAGCUACACAUUUCAAAGAUGGGCCAAAGUUUAUUCAGCUUUAGGUUUGGAAGUCACAUGGAACUCCAUCUCUGCUUUUCAGAGUAAAUUAUGACAAGAAGAAUAUGGGCUUACUCAAACCUUAUUUUAAAACCUCCUGCAGUAUAAAUGGAUACUUUACCAUAACAUGAACCAGCACCGAUAACUGUGUGGUGAACCCAUGAUCUUCAGUGGGAUCUACAACACAGCCCAAGCAAUCUAAAGUUCUGUUUAAGUCAAAGAAACGCUGGAAGUCUUCAAAUGUCCCUGACCUUAUCCUCAAGCUCUAAGGACUUUAGGAAUGCCACUCCUGCACUCCUGCAGCUGCCCUGAGCCCAGGUGGUGAUAUGGUUUUUCAGAAUAACUGGUCACUGUGGAUCCCCUCAGCAGUUGCACCCCUGUGCAGUAUGCCAGCUUGCACUGCAAAAAACACCGUCAGUGGUCAACUUCUUGACCAAAACCUCUAAGAUGGGGGCAUUCAGAGAGGCUUUUUCCCACUCAAAAAAUUCAGGUGCCCUCCUGCAGAGUCGUGUCUAGAAUCAAACACUUCUGCUCAAUAAGCAAGCCAGGAGUCAACGAGCACGUACGACACGGGACAUGUGGAAACCAAAUCACAGACAAAUUGACCUGAAUCCAGGAAAAGGACAAGCAGGGGGACAGUACACUAACCUGCAGUAAUGCAGUGUUUGGGAAAUUGCCACAACACAGAUGCAGAUGAAUGCUGCAUGACUUCAGAAAUCUGUUCUCUCUGUCAUAUCCCACCCAUAACCAGGGGCGUUGAGGCUCAGUGGGAGGGAACAAGACAACAGGCUUUCUUAUGGCAUCUUCUUGUGACCUCCCCACUGCAUGCCACUAAAAGAAAGUCUGCCCGUUUGUGCCUGAAGGUUUGACUUUCUGCCAUCUCCCUUUCCUAUUUUCUGACAUUUUCUUUUCAGAUUCAUUGAACCAUACCUUCUUUAUUGCCUUUCUAAUGUUUCACUAGACAGGUAUAAAGAUCUCUGGCUGUAUUCUCCUGUUCAGAAGCUGCUCAGGAUUGUUAAGCAAUAGUUCAGGCAAUACCUGAACUAAGGUAUUCACAAAGCUUAGUGAUGAAAAUCAGAGCUUUCCUAAGCACAGCAAUGACACCUGGUGGCAAAACACAGGGAUCACGUUCUUCUAGAGCUUCUGUGCAGCUUCUUUUGUCAUGUCCUAUUCCUCAACUCCAUCAUGGCCAGGGAACAAAUCUACCUAAACUGAAACAAGGCAGAUUCAAAUUACACUUCAAAAAAAAAAUUCUCUGGGCACAGAGAGCAAAAAUUACUUGGAGAUGGUGUGGCGCCAUCACCUCAAAGGUCUGAGAGGCCUGGUUAGACAAGCAUGUCAGAGCUGAUCUUCCUUGAGGAGAGCACAGUGAAGUAGAGAACUUCCCUGCAUGUUUUUCUACACUUUUGUUAACUUUGUGCAGCUGAAGCUGGUUCAAAGAAGGACGUUUCUUUAAGAAAUGCCUGAGAGCACUCCAUGUAAAUAUUUAUUCCUGUUAUCAGAAACUAAUUCCUUGUCUUUUCCUACUAUAAAACAGUAUAGUGAUUUGUCUCUGUUUACUGUGUAUGCAUUAGUUGGCCAUGCCUAAAAUAUGCAAGUGUGUCCAUCUUGAAAACACUGAGAACAAUACAGCCAGGUCUGGAGAUUGCAAAUGAGGAAUAAACUUGAUCUGAUGCUGGGCUGAUUUUCAUGUGCUACAACCAAUUCAACUGUUCUCAUCAGUAACUUUACACUGAACUUAUUGCAAGAAUGAGGCUUUAGGGCUUCUUGAGCCAUCACUUCUCCACAGAGGACUUCUGCACAGCUGCAGCCUGCUGACUGAAAGCAAAUCACCACCGUAGUAUGGUCGUGUGUAAUGCUGCUGAUUCCACCAGUGAAGAGUUGAGCACCUACAGCAUUUAGGAAAGGGUUAGAAACUUCUUCAGUGUGAGUCCAGGUCUGCCAAGAACAGCCUUUUCUAGACAGCUGAAAAACUGUAGGAUGUGGAAGGUUGCAGAUGGCAGUGGUAGUCAGAGGGCCAUGCCCAUCGAAGUCCCACUCUACUCAUUUACUGCUCCAUCGCACCAGGGAACACAUCCCACGGACAGCAUCCAGUUCGUGAAAAGAGGCAUGAACUUCAGCCUCAUAUGACCUGAUUAGGUUAGCACAGACAGAGAACAGGUAAACAGCAUCAACACCAACUACGGGCUGAGGCACCAGUGAGCAACAUACCAGACCAGUUAGGAUGCCACGUCCUCACGCUCUUCAGCCAACCGGUGUGAAAGCUGUACUUAUUCAGGCACUGCAGCUACCUGGCUAGUCCCUGGAGAAAAAAGGGAUGGGGCAGGCUCAUGGGGCUGAAGUGAAGCCUCACUUCCAAGGGGUCCACUUCACUACUUUGCAGAAGCACUUCAGUUAGUUAGAAAUAAGCUGAAUCAGAACAUCCAGCCAAGACAAAGAUUAUGACUUCUUUUUUUAAAGGAAAAUAUUUGACAGACAAUACAUUACAAACAGGAUCAUGUGACUAAACAGGAAUACUGAAUCCUAGUAAGUGACUUAUAAGGAAGAGUUCUUGUAUCCUAGGAUUGUUCUGAGGCUGUGUGAUAAAUUUGACUAAGGAGAUGAAGAAAUAAUUAAAAGUCAUUGUGUCACCUCAAUUCAACACGCACAAUGUGCCAACCAAGGCACAUGAUUUGCACCUGUGCUGACACCCAUCCCACUCAAGCUCAAGUGUAAGCACUGCCUUAAUCCCACACUCAUAUUUCAUCUAUUGACCCCACCUAACUAAACACAAUAUACAAACUGGGCAGUUCAGUUGAUUGCAACUGUGUGUUGAGAAGUUCAGGAAAAUUACAAUGUUUGUUUGUUUGUUUGUUUUGAGUGUUCAUGCACACUUUGCAACAGGCACUAGUGGUGCAGGUUUUGGAGUCACAGGAACGCUUGUCAUUAAUUGCUUUUAAGAAAAUUUAGAGUAGAAAUGGAGAAGAAUGCAUACAUUAAAAUAGUAACUACUAAUGCUCUUGGCUAUUACACCCAAAUUUGUAUGUAUAAAAAAGUAAUAUUAAAAAAUUAAAUUAA